rnacentral:rRNA from 1 species
UACAGAGGGUGCGAGCGUUGUCCGGAAUCACUGGGCGUAAAGGGCGCGUAGGCGGCGCGGUAAGCGUGCGGUGAAAGCCCGGGGCUCAACCCCGGGUCGGCCGUGCGGACUGCCGGGCUGGAGCACUGUAGAGGCAGGUGGGAAUUCCGGGUGUAGCGGUGGAAUGCGUAGAGAUCCGGAAGAACACCGGUGGCGAAGGCGGCCUGCUGGGCAGUGGCUGACGCUGAGGCGCGACAGCGUGGGGAGCAAACAGG